AUCCUCACACGGUCCUUAGUGGGAUUGCUCUAAACUGGAACAAGCACCUGUCAACGACUGAAUAAAUCCGCAUAGCAUGGAAGCCACAAAAUUAGUUGAUAUGAUCAGCGUUCGAACCUUAAUAGCUUUGAUAGACCUUUCUGUAUAAAAUCGGAGCUGUCGCCAACAUUGUCCUGAAAAAAGACCUAGCAAGAUGCUUCAAAAUUCAUGCCUUCAAAGGAAACGGCAAAGCAAAUGAAACCAAUCAUAAGGC
rnacentral:lncRNA from 1 species